rnacentral:rRNA from 1 species
CCCUUAGAUGUUCUGGGCGGCCCGCGCACUACAUUGGCACUCUCAAUAAGUUCCUAGAUCUAAAACUUUGGGGUAUUCUAUUAAGUGGUGUCGUGACUGGGAUUAACCCUUGCAAUUAUUGGUUACGAACGAGGAAUUCCUUGUAAUCGCGGUUUAUCAGCCCGCGUUGAAUGCGUCCCUGCCCUUUGUACACACCGCCCGUCGCUCCUACCGAUGAAUCGCCCGGUGAAGUUCAUGGAGUGGUGGUUGUUCCAGCUGCUGUCGAAGUGAAAUGGACCUCACGAUUUAGAGGAAGGAGAAGUCGUAACA